CCUACGGGGGGCUGCAGUGGGGAAUAUUGCACAAUGGGCGCAAGCCUGAUGCAGCCAUGCCGCGUGUGUGAAGAAGGCCUUCGGGUUGUAAAGCACUUUCAGCGGGGAGGAAGGCGUUAAGGUUAAUAACCUUGGCGAUUGACGUUACCCGCAGAAGAAGCACCGGCUAACUCCGUGCCAGCAGCCGCGGUAAUACGGAGGGUGCAAGCGUUAAUCGGAAUUACUGGGCGUAAAGCGCACGCAGGCGGUCUGUCAAGUCGGAUGUGAAAUCCCCGGGCUCAACCUGGGAACUGCAUUCGAAACUGGCAGGCUAGAGUCUGGUAGAGGGGGGUAGAAUUCCCGGUGUAGCGGUGAAAUGCGUAGAGAUCUGGAGGAAUACCGGUGGCGAAGGCGGCCCCCUGGACAAAGACUGACGCUCAGGUGCGAAAGCGUGGGGAGCAAACAGGAUUAGAUACCCGUGUAGUC
rnacentral:rRNA from 1 species